GUAAAACCCCCCAACUCUUUAGUGGUUGACCUYGGAUCAGGUAGGAAUACCCGYUGAAYUUAAGCAUAUCAAUAAGCGGAGGAAAAGAAACCAACAGGGAUUGCYUUAGUAACGGCGAGUGAAGCGGCAACAGCUCAAAUUUGAAAGCUGGCCUUCGGGUCCGCGUUGUAAUUUGUAGAGGAUGCUUUUGGUUAGGUGCCUUACGAGUUCCCUGGAACGGGACGCCUUAGAGGGUGAGAGCCCCGUACGUUUGGUUACCGAGCCUCUGUAAAGCUCCUUYGACGAGUCGAGUAGUUUGGGAAUGCUGCUCUAAAUGGGAGGUAAAUUUCUUCUAAAGCUAAAUACCGGCCAGAGACCGAUAGCGCACAAGUAGAGUGAUCGAAAGAUGAAAAGCACUUUGAAAAGAGGGUUAAAUAGCACGUGAAAUUGUUGAAAGGGAAGCGUUUAUGACCAGACUUUUUCCUGGCGGAUCAUCCGGUGUUCUCACCGGUGCACUUCGCCAGGUUUAGGCCAGCAUCGGUUUUCGCCGGGGGAUAAAAGCAGUGGUAAUGUGGCUCCCUCCGGGGAGUGUUAUAGACCGCUGCAUAAUACCCUGGCGGGGACCGA
rnacentral:rRNA from 1 species